AGGGCACAAUCCGACAGGGGAUGGCAGUGGAGAAGGAAGAGGGGAGGCCGAGUGGUAGGACACCGAUUCUGGGAGGCAGCCGACAGCACCACAAAAGAAAGGGGUAGGGGCUCAAGAAGCUUUGAUCCAACAUGGGGACGUCGGAUCCAAGGCAGGAGGCUAGGGGAGGAGGCCGAGGGCUCCAGCGGUGCAGCAGGGGAAAAUGAUGAUCGGAGAAAGAGAGUUGGUGGGGGAGCAAGGAGAGCGAUGGGGGUUUCUGUGAGCCCAUCGAAGAUUCAGAGAGGUUAUUUAGGGCUUAUUAUUAGCAACAACAAUAUUUCAUUGUUAAAACCAUCGCUAAUAAUAAUUUAUUUAUUAGCGACAACUUAGCCAUCGCUCAUAACAAAAUUAUCGUCGCUAAUAACUAUUUAAACUUAUUAUGAUGGAAAUAUUUUUCAUCAUAAUAAG
rnacentral:lncRNA from 1 species